UGUAUCCAUCAGUUCUCGCGCACGAAACUCACGUUUGUUUGCUUACCUACGCGCGAGAUCUGUUGGCAGGCAUCGAAGCAAAAGGGCCACUGCCUCCUAAUACUUAUCCAAACUCAGGGCUGCAGGGCUAUAAGUACCCCCACUCGUUGCUCUUCUUCUUCAAGCGCAUCCAUACCUGCAAUACAUACUAAUAUCUUCCGCAGAAGUAGUUCAUACAAGUCGGAUAAUGGUGCGAUGCUUGAUUCCAUUUCUUAUCAUCUUCAUAGAUUUUCUUGUGUGUUAAUUUGGGGCAGGCCAUGCUUGCAUGCCUGCCUGUAUAUACAUCUUUUGUCGCUAUAUAUGGUAUUAAUUUGGUGGUGGUUUCGUUGCUGGCGGCCGGUGCGGUUGCAGGCGGGCGUGCUCCAGCAAGGACCAUGGGGUGGCAACGGCGGCAAAACCUGGAAUAUGGGACGGGCGGAUCACAUUAGCAACGUCAAAAUUCAUUACAACGAUGCCGUAUUCGCGUUUGACUUCACCUUCACCGUCGACGGCAAGAAGAAGACCAUCCACGUCGGAGGCGAUGCACCCCAGUACAAUGAGAUUACUCUAGAGGAGGACGAAUACUUCACUUUCAUCUCUGGAUAUUUCAAGACGAUGUGGACGACAGACGUUUUCAUAACACAACUUACCCUUGAGACCAACAAGGGCAAUUCUGUGAGCGCCGGCAAUACGAUCGGUAGUCAUUUCUCCCUAAAUCUGGAGGAUGAGGGUAAGAUUCUAGGCUUCUUCGGACGUGAAGGUUCUACCAUCGAUGCCAUCGAGGCAAUCGGAGUUUACUGCACUAUACCUAAUUAAACACACGUCACGCCUUGGUGUCUGUGUCUUAGUCUGCUGCAAUGUAUCUGCUUGGUUGCAGCGAUAAAUAAGUGGCAGCAAUCGUUGUGUUUCUUUGAAUAAAACAAGAAAUAUGUUACGGGUCCACCGGUUAUUGUACGCUAAUUGACGAUAUGAUGAUAGUUGAAUCCAAUCGGUGGUUGCAUUCCUAUGA